rnacentral:rRNA from 1 species
GACGUAGGGCGCGAGCGUUGUCCGGAUUUAUUGGGCGUAAAGAGCUCGUAGGCGGCUCGUUGCGUCGGCUGUGAAAACCCGCAGCUCAACUGUGGGCUUGCAGCUGAUACGGGCGGGCUGGAGUUCGGUAGGGGAGACUGGAAUUCCUGGUGUAGCGGUGAAAUGCGCAGAUAUCAGGAGGAACACCGGUGGCGAAGGCGGCUCUCUGGGACGGUACUGACGCUGAGACGCGAAAGCGUGGGGAGCGAACAGG